GUGGAGAUCGCUUUUAGCGGCAUUUGCCGCUGUUAGUUCUCGCGCUAAUCUCGACCAAUUAAACUCUCGGUAAACUAAUCAAUUGUGUGUACCCUUUACUGGGCUUCAUAAAAUGAAACGAUGCUACGUCGUUCGGCAAAACAGUGUCAUCAUCGCCGCAAAGAGCAACGAGCUACUAACACUCUAUCGUUCCUCGCGGAAUUAUCCAACGAUAAAUUACAUUUUUCCUAAAUACGAUAAAUUACAUUUUGAAACUUCGUCACCUGAUUAAACAGGACAGAAAAAUAACUUUGUUUAUGCGGCCAAAUUGAUAAAUUGUGUUCGUGAGUGACGAUGGUAUGGAACGGUAUUCUAGAAAACAAGCUCACAAGAAUAUUGUUGGAAGAAUUUAUUUCAUAAGCAUUAAUUCAGGAGAUUACGUAGCUCGCUUAAUUAUAUUUGGAAUGUAACAACCAUAUUGCAUUUCGAAUUAUUAUUCUGUAUCACAAGUUUCGAACUCAGACAGUCGAUCAAAUAAAUUGUAAAAGUGCAACGAUCGAACAUUGAGAAGUCAACUGAGAAGGCGACGCGUCGUCGCGUAUAUAAUAAUUAAAUAAUAUAUACGAUGCGUGAAAAUACAACAGAAAUUAACACAUGUUAAAGAUGAGUUAAUAUUUUCAAAAGUGAAUCUUAACAUUUUCUUUUACGACUUCUCUCUUUAAAAUAUAUAAAAAUAUCUAAUAUCUUAUUAAUUGUUACAUCUCUGUAAUAUUAUAAAUUUAUUGUCAUUAUAAUCUGUUGUGCAGAUGCAAGAUGAUAUUAUUAGUCUCGAUAAUCCGAAACUUUUAUAUGUAUGUUAAUUUGCCGAUACUAUAUCCGUUCAUGUCACAUUAAUAAGGUUUCUGUCCCUCAUCAUUGAGACAUCGUCGCAUGUCAUGUGUGGAAGAUAAGUAUAUCGACAACUAGACGUUAUCAAAAACCGAUAAAGCAUUUAUAAUUAUGUGACAAAGAGUAUGUAUGUAAUGUCCUGUUUUCACCAUGUUAUAUAAUUUAAUCCAAUUAUAUAUAAUAAAUUUGUAUAGAUAACGUUUUCUCAAUCACGAAAAAUUUUGCCAUAAAAAACGCGUAUAAUAUUCUUUUCUUUUGAG